rnacentral:rRNA from 1 species
GAUGAACGCUGGCGGCGUGCCUAAUACAUGCAAGUCGAGCGAACAGACGAGGAGCUUGCUCCUCUGACGUUAGCGGCGGACGGGUGAGUAACACGUGGAUAACCUACCUAUAAGACUGGGAUAACUUCGGGAAACCGGAGCUAAUACCGGAUAAUAUAUUGAACCGCAUGGUUCAAUAGUGAAAGACGGUUUUGCUGUCACUUAUAGAUGGAUCCGCGCCGCAUUAGCUAGUUGGUAAGGUAACGGCUUACCAAGGCAACGAUGCGUAGCCGACCUGAGAGGGUGAUCGGCCACACUGGAACUGAGACACGGUCCAGACUCCUACGGGAGGCAGCAGUAGGGAAUCUUCCGCAAUGGGCGAAAGCCUGACGGAGCAACGCCGCGUGAGUGAUGAAUGUCUUCGGAUCGUAAAACUCUGUUAUUAGGGAAGUACAAAUGUGUAAGUAACUAUGCACGUCUUGACGGUACCUAAUCAGAAAGCCACGGCUAACUACGUG